GAUGAAGAACGCAGCGAAAUGCGAUACGUAAUGUGAAUUGCAGAAUCCAGUGAAUCAUCGAAUCUUUGAACGCACAUUGCGCCCGCUGGUAUUCCGGCGGGCAUGCCUGUUCGAGCGUCAUUUCAACCCUCAAGCCCCCGGGUUUGGUGUUGGGGAUCGGCUCUGCCCUUCUGGGCGGUGCCGCCCCCGAAAUACAUUGGCGGUCUCGCUGCAGCCUCCAUUGCGUAGUAGCUAACACCUCGCAACUGGAACGCGGCGCGGCCAUGCCGUAAAACCCCAACUUCUGAAUGUUGACCUCGGAUCAGGUAGGAAUACCCGCUGAACUUAAGCAUAUCAAUAAGCGGAGGA
rnacentral:misc_RNA from 1 species